ensembl:lncRNA
GGCGGAGCCCUGAGGUGCCCUGAAUUUGCCAGAUGAGAUAACAGCUCUUGCACAGCCCUGCUCCUGCCUGAAUGCUUUGUGGCUGCCACAGACGUCCUGCUCCGUGAGGUCCAGUUUUCCUUUUCCUUGUUUACUUGUUAUACCUUCCCUUAGCACAGAGAGGAGGAUCUUUAUUGUCCCUACAACCCAGGAGCAGCUCACAUUACAGCCCUGCCAUCAGUGUGCUUCAGAUCUGGCCUUGGCAGCCCUGUUGAGGCAUCCACUCCGAUUCUCUGCUGAGUCUGGAGCCCAGCCCUUCUGAGGGUUGACUCUGCUUCAGAUACGGCUAAUCCAAACCAGAUGGAGUGUGAAGGUGAGAUCCUGACAGCAUCUAGGGAUGGAACUUGGACUCUGAGCCGCAGCAUUUCGCCCUGCCUCCCUGGAUGCUGCCCUUAGGGGCUGGUGCCAAUCCUGCCUGGGCCAGCAUUAGCUCUGCUACUGCAACUUGGUGAGUCAGACGUUGUUGGGACUUGCUGUUCCAGUCCUGGAAGCUGCUGGCAUGCUAAAUGAUUAUUAUUAAUAGUAGUGGUAUUAGUAUUAAUAAUAAUGAUAUAAGCGCUAACAAUUAGCAUUUAUUGAUUGCUUCCUAUGUUGCAAGCUGUAGACUAAGUGUAUUGCACAUAUUUUUUCAUAUAAUUCUCUGAAGAACCCCAUGAGAUAGUUUCUCUUUUUGGCACAAUCUUUGUAAUAGAGAAACUGAGGCCCUGGGGGUCAAGGAACUUGCCCCAAAUCACUCAGAUAAUGAGAGGUGGAGCGAAGACUGGAACUCACAGUUUUCAUUCAGUUUUAAAGCCUGUGCUCCUAAUCACUAGGACACACUGUCUCCACUGCCCAGUGCCUAAGCCCAUCCCUGAUUGACAGCUGCUGUAACUUCAGCAGUGAAAAACCACUAAUGAGUUUCCUUUAGAAGCUGCUGAAUGUCAGAGGGAGAGAUGUUUGGGGGAGGCAUCUGAUUCUGCAACAUUUGUGCUCUGGAACUCUGCAUAAGCAAAGUUCUUAAAGAUUCGUGGGCACACUAUUUGCAUAUAAAUGACUACUCACAGUUUAAAUAUCCGGGAAGGGAGUUGAUACCUUCUGUCAUUCCUGAUUGUUUAACAAAUUAAUAAGGAAGCAUGACCAGCUGAAAGUGGAAAUCAUUUCAGGCUGGGAGUGACUAUAAAGCUAUACUGCAGUAGAUGGGCGGAGACAGCAGCCGGAAGCAGCCAUAUGUCAACGGGAAGCAGGAGGUGCAAUGCCAUCGCCUUCACAGCCUGAAUAUGAGU